rfam:Homo sapiens chromosome 12, GRCh38 reference primary assembly.
GCUGGGCGUGGUGGUGGGCGCCUGUAAUCCCAGCUACUUGGGAGGCUGAGGCAGGAGAAUCACUUGAACCCAGGAGUUGGAGGUUGCAGUGAGCUGAGAUCGAGCCACUGCAAUCCAGCCUGGGUGACAGAGUGAGACUUUGUCUCAA